CCGACGGGUGAGUAACACGUAUCCAACCUGCCGUCUACUCUUGGCCAGCCUUCUGAAGGAAGAUAAUCCAGGAUGGCAUCAUGAGUUCACAUGUCCGCAUGAUUAAAGGUAUUUUCCGGUAGACGAUGGGGAUGCGUUCCAUUAGAUAGUAGGCGGGGUAACGGCCCACCUAGUCAACGAUGGAUAGGGGUUCUGAGAGGAAGGUCCCCCACAUUGGAACUGAGACACGGUCCAA
rnacentral:rRNA from 1 species